rnacentral:ncRNA from 2 species
GUCCCCUGUGUGGGAGAGCCCGGAGUGCACGCCGUCAUGGCGGGUGAGCCCCGGCGCCGAAGGAGCAACAUCCUCCCCAGGAAUCUCUCAGGCACCCGUACCGUGCAGGGGUG